GACGAACGCUGGCGGUGCGCCUUAUGCAUGCAAGUCGAGCGAAGCUUUUCAGUAGUUUACUACAGAAAAUGACUGAGCGGCGAACGGGUGAGUAACGCGUGAGCAAUCUACCUUAGUUACAGGGAUAGCCCGAGGAAACUCGGAUUAAUACCUGAUAUUCUUUAUUUCUCGCAUGAGAAUAAAAGGAAAGGUCAGCCGAACUAAGAUGAGCUCGCGUUCUAUCAGCUAGUUGGUGAGGUAAAGGCUUACCAAGGCUACGACGGAUAGCUGGUCUGAGAGGACGAUCAGCCACACUGGGACUGAGACACGGCCCAGACUCCUACGGGAGGCUGCAGCAGGGAAUAUUGUGCAAUGAACGAAAGUUUGACACAGCGACACCGCGUGUGGGAUGACGGAUCUAGGUUUGUAAACCACUUUCAGGAGGGAAGAAAAUGACGGUACCUCCACAAGAAGCCCCGGCCAACUACGUGA
rnacentral:rRNA from 1 species